UGUCUGAGAACACUGCUUAUUAUAAGGGACAAAAGUAUCUAAAAACACUGAAAAGCCCUUCAGCGGACAGUCACCAUUCCGGGACUUCCCAUCCCAGUGGCAUUUGGGACUGUUGUAGGGGGCUGUCCUGUGCAGCUUCACUGAGAUCGGGAAAUAACUGUGAGCCAAAUCCAUACUGUCCUGGUCCCGUGGAUCAAAGAUGAACCCUGUUGAAGCCAUCUUGCUUGAAUAUCUUUUGUCUCUUCGGCUGAAGUUGUGGAUUUAGAGUGAGAGAAUACAGUGCAGUUAAUGUGGAGGACUUACCUGAGCUGGAAUCCAGCCUAAACCUUACUAAUUGCGGCCCCUGCCAUGACACCAGAGCGAGGAGAGAGCUCCUUUAGUCUUUCCUGCUUCUGCUGCAAACCCUAAGUGGGUGGGCUACGAAGGCGGAGCUCCUGGCGCCUCGAGGUUUUGCUAACACGGAGAAUGGAAAGACCCGGCGCAGCAUAGGAAACAUGCAUGAUGGUUCAAGACACAAGCUUUACAACGGUUCACAGAGACUUCCUGCCGGUCCCCAACUGAAAAGAAUAGGAAUUGGCGACACUUUCCAGCUGGCUUAUUUCUUAGACUUCAUUUCUAGAGUUAAGUUUAGUCAACUUACAGCGAUGAAGUAAACAAUACCACCUGUGUAGCCCUCAAAGAAUAAACCCAGAAGGUUUCCGUACAAAACA